GGGCAUCCCUCCUUGCUAGAGCUUUCCCUGCUGAGCCUAGAAUCUUCUGAUACAGGGGAAGGAGGGGAGCUGAGGAGCUCAGGCAUUUUCAUCUGUCUGCAGUGACCCUGCCACUGAUCAUCACACCUGGGCAUCUUGGAUCUUGUUUGAACUCGAUGGCUUUUCCAGCCCUUUCUCCAGCACACAGUAGGCAAUUUUUCUUUUAGCAAUACCUCUCCAUGCUGCAAGAAGUCACUCAGUUCUCACACAUUUGUAUGGAGAGUCAUAGGAAAAGAAUUUCCACCUACAAAAUCCUGCUGGGAAGCCUUUAGAAACGCCUGCAUCUUCAGUAUUCAGGUGCUGAACUUCCACCAGGAUUCAUCUGGAGAGUUUUCCACUCAGCAAAGCAUCACAGAAAACUGCUGAAGCCAAUGACUUCGAAAGCAUGAAAGGACUUCAGCAUUUAUAUAGGAUUAUGAAUAAUGCCUGUGAUUGUCAUGGAGUCCCAGUAUUACGAAGAAAAAAAUAUGUUGAGAGUUGAAUUGUAUCCUUCAAACACAUUGUAAGCUUCUUUGUGAGGAGAAGUUCCAAUCUGAGUGCUGCAAAGCCCUUCCAGAGCAAUAAUGUGAGGGCAGCUGUGCCUGUAUUGCUGCUCAGCUUGGGUAUUAAAAAGCAGUCAUUGGGACUUGGUUGCACCCUUCUGGUUUCUCAUACAUCCCUGGCUGCAUUCAAACAGGCGCUGCAACAGCUGGUGAAGGGAAGCUAAGAAGUAGAAAGUGCUGUCUUAAGGCUUGGGACUGGGCUGUUCAUGCAUAGAGAGAAUUAAAGGUAUCUGUCUCCCAGGUAAAAGCUUCCGCUGUACAAGAGGCUUUGCUCAGAACAGCUCUACAUUGAGAAAAUCUCUUCAAUAAUGACAUGCUGGGCUUCAGCUGGCCACCUGCAGCAACCAGGAGGAAUUUCCCCCAAGAAACCUUGUCUUCCUAUUUUAGGGGGGGAGUUUCUUAAUCUCCUCUAAUGCAUAAGGAUAACUGCAGCUGGAGAUGCAAUACCU